AUUUAGGUGACUGAAUAAUAAGUAUUGAUCUUUUAAAUCAAACCAUGGUAAAACAUACCCCUAAAUG
rnacentral:tRNA from 1 species